GAGUAAUGCGUGACCGACCUGCCCCAUACACCGGAAUAKCUCCUGGAAACGGGUGGUAAUGCCGGAUGCUCCGACUCCUCGCAUGGGGUGUCGGGAAAGAUUUCAUCGGUAUGGGAUGGGGUCGCGUCCUAUCAGGUAGUCGGCGGGGUAACGGCCCACCGAGCCUACGACGGGUAGCCGGCCUGAGAGGGCGACCGGCCACAUUGGGACUGAGAUACGGCCCANACUCCUACGGGAGGCAGCAGUGGGGAAUAUUGCACAAUGGGCGCAAGCCUGAUGCAGCGACGCCGCGUGCGGGAUGACGGCCUUCGGGUUGUAAACCGCUUUUGAUCGGGAGCAAGCCUUCGGGUGAGUGUACCUUUCGAAUAAGCACCGGCUAACUACGUGCCAGCAGCCGCGGUAAUACGUAGGGUGCAAGCGUUAUCCGGAAUUAUUGGGCGUAAAGGGCUCGUAUGCGGUUCGUCCCGUCCGGUGUGAAAGUCCAUC
rnacentral:rRNA from 1 species